UAGAUGUCGCUGUAGAUUUAGCAGCACUGUACUGUAAAAAUCCACAGUACUAUACUGUAUGUGUACAUUACAGUACAGUACUGCAGUUCAUAAUGCAUUCUGGGUAAAUUUGUUUGAGCGGGAACAUUUUACAGUAUAUUUUGGUCUUGAUGUAACCUUGCUGUAGCCAUUGCUGUAAUGUGCCAGGUGUACUUGCAAUAAUCAGAGAAAGUGCGCCAACGUCAAAUCACACAGACAGAGGGAGCGCACAACUCUUGGCUGCAGCUGAAGGAGGACGAUUGAUUUCUGUCAGUUCGUCUUACCAUUGCUUGUAAGUCGGAUUGGGUAAGAUGGAUCAUCUUUAAAGGCACCAGGAGUUAAGGCAGAUGUGGAGGCACAACGGGUGACACCAGACACACACCAAGCACAUUAUGUUCGGACAUUCAAUCAUGACAUGAUCCAUGUGGAUGCUGUCCAUUGAGGAAAGAGUUUGUUCAGCGGUUUCUGGAUAGAAUUAAUUCCAAAGAUGGGAAAAAGUACACAUCCAGACAAGGAGCAAGCAAAAAGACAAGGAACUUGGUGCAGAGAAAAGCUGUGGCCAUUAACCCCCAUGUGAACAGCUUCAUGCAGUCCCUGAUUGAGUUCGAAUGGACGACUUCAAAGUAAAGGCCACUGUGGUCUGUCUGCCACAGUUUAAUGCAUUUAUUUUUAGUGUUAAAUGAAAUUCAAGUAGAAUAUUUAAAACUAUGGGCCAGUGUUCUUUUUACCACAGUGAAAUGUUACCUUUUAGUCGAUGAUGGACUUUAAACUGAAAACUUCAAACUAUGGAAGAGUGUUCUAUUUGCCAGAGUUAAAUAUGUUACAGCAGGGGUCUCCAAACUUGUUUAUACAUGUUGAUUUUAUUUUAUGUUACUUGAUUAUAUGUUUAUUAUUGUUUAAAAUCUUGUUUUAAAUAUGUUUUGUUUCGAUUAAAUGUUUUUUAAAUAAAAUUUUGAUACAAGCAUUGCUUGGAU